rnacentral:rRNA from 1 species
GUCGUCAGCUCGUGUCGUGAGAUGUUGGGUUAAGUCCCGCAACGAGCGCAACCCUUGUCAUUAAUUACCAUCAUUUAGUUGGGCACUUUAAUGAGACUGCCGGUGACAAACCGGAGGAAGGUGGGGAUGACGUCAAGUCCUCAUGGCCCUUAUGGGUAGGGCUUCACACGUCAUACAAUGGUCGGUACAGAGGGUUGCCAAGCCGCGAGGUGGAGCCAAUCCCAGAAAGCCGAUCGUAGUCCGGAUCGCAGUCUGCAACUCGACUGCGUGAAGUCGGAAUCGCUAGUAAUCGCGGAUCAGCAUGUCGCGGUGAAUACGUUCCCGGGUCUUGUACACACCGCCCGUCACACCAUGGGAGUGGGUUCUACCAGAAGUAGUUAGCCUAACCGUAAGGAGGGCGAUUACCACGGUAGGAUUCAUGACUGGGGUGAAGUCGUAACAAG